rnacentral:rRNA from 1 species
CCUACGUGCGGCUGCAGUGGGGAAUAUUGCGCAAUGGGGGAAACCCUGACGCAGCAACGCCGCGUGAGUGAAGACGUAUCUCGGUAUGUAAAGCUCUAUCAGCGGGGAAGAAGGAAGACGGUACCCGACUAAGAAGCCCCGGCUAACUACGUGCCAGCAGCCGCGGUAAUACGUAGGGGGCGAGCGUUAUCCGGAUUUACUGGGUGUAAAGGGAGCGUAGACGGCGUCGCAAGUCUGAAGUGAAAGCCCGUGGCUCAACCGCGGAACCGCUUUGGAAACUGCGAGGCUGGAGUGCUGGAGAGGUAAGCGGAAUUCCUGGUGUAGCGGUGAAAUGCGUAGAUAUUAGGAGGAACACCAGUGGCGAAGGCGGCUUACUGGACUGUAACUGACGUUGAGGCUCGAAAGCGUGGGGAGCAAACAGGAUUAGAUACCCUGGUAGUC